rnacentral:rRNA from 1 species
ACGAACGCUGGCGGCGUGCUUAACCCAUGCAAGUCGAACGGUGAAGCUCCAGCUUGCUGGAGUGGAUCAGUGGCGAACGGGUGAGUAACACGUGAGCAACCUGCCCCAGACUCUGGAAUAAGCGCUGGAAACGGCGUCUAAUACUGGAUACGAGACCAAGCCGCAGGGUUAUGGUCUGGAAAGUUUUUCGGUUUGGGAUGGGCUCGCGGCCUAUCAGCUUGUUGGUGAGGUAAUGGCUCACCAAGGCGACGACGGGUAGCCGGCCUGAGAGGGCGACCGGCCACACUGGGACUGAGACACGGCCCAGACUCCUACGGGAGGCAGCAGUGGGGAAUAUUGCACAAUGGGCGAAAGCCUGAUGCAGCGACGCCGCGUGAGGGAUGACGGCCUUCGGGUUGUAAACCUCUUUCAGCAGGGAAGAAGCGAAAGUGACGGUACCUGCAGAAGAAGCACCGGCUAACUACGUG